UGGAUAAUGAUAGGAUAUAUUCACACCUUGGAAAUGAGGUGGUGAAUUUUUUGAAUCUUCUGAUAGAGUUCAGCACAAUGAGAAUCCCCACGGAGGGACAUGGGGUGAGAAUCUGUCCCAGCGAUAGCAGGUGAUGACAGGGGGCUCUGUUUCAAUAUGUUUUGGACAGAAAAUCACAGCUUUGGUCUGCCGAAACUGGGGUUCUUCCCAAGCCAGGGAUCAAACCCAUGUCUCCUGAAUCGCAGGCAGCUUCUUUAUCACUGAGCCACCUGGGAAGACCAGUUCUUUGAAAUACGCUGCAUUAAAUAUGGUGAGAUGGUAUGAAACAUGUACUUCCUGUAGCACCACAGGUUACAUCUGACUCCGGUGGACUCUUCGUCUGAUACCUGAAAGGAGUAUUGUGCAUUUGUGUAGUGCACUGAUAGCUGGAAACAAUAGGGUCGCUAUUAGCCAAUUCCACCUGGCAAGAUGCAGCCUGUUGCCCAAGCUCUGGGACCUUUUUAAUCCAGACAUACAGUGCAUACCAUUUGAACAUCAGAACAGUCUUGCUUCUUC
ensembl:lncRNA